CUCCCCGCCACGUGACCGGCGGCCCGGCACGACCCGCGCUCCGCGCCCCCGCUAUGCGCUUGCCACAGGGCUGCUGUGUUCCUCUGCGGAGCUCGCCCCUCUGGUCCCCAGUCCAAGGAGUUCGCGGUGACCUACACGCGUGCGGGACAUCGGCGCCGGCCUCCCCCUCAGUCUCUGGCAGAGAAAAGGGAAAAGCCGCCAAGGACGAAUGGGGCGUACCCCCGGGGGCCUGACUCAGGUGUGGGGGGCGACGGGCGCGCGGAGGAGCAGGAAAGCGACUGGAAGAGGAGGGACUGGGCAGGGUGUGAAUGGAUGUGGAGCCACCUCGGGCCCGGGAAGAGGCCUAAGGGGCGGGCGGUGAGAGCGCUCGGGCUGUGGCCUCCGCAGAGUUCGGUGAACUCGGGGAAGUCACUCAAACCCUCGGGGCCUGUUUCCUGUUCUCUAAAAUGGCAACAGUAGUAGAACCAACCUCCUGGGCACUUUUGAUGAGAGAAGUGAUGGAACUUUCUUAAUACAGAGCCUCCCCUGUGGCAUUUGAUGAAUGCUGAGUGUUAAACACAGAAGUCGGGAAAGAGCAGGUCAGAGGGUGGUGAGACUGGUCCCUAGGGAGGUGUGUAUGUUGGAAACAUGGAGAAACGAGAAUGCAGAGGCCAAGUUUUUCUGGACACUGAAUGUUCGCGACAGGAUAUAAUUAGAGCUAGCAGUUCUGAGGGACUGAUUAUAUACUUAGCAGUUCACCUGAAUUAUCCUCAUAACCUUCUGAGUGUGGUCUUGCUGCAUCCUAAGGGCCAAGUCUGGAUCUAAGAUGAAUUUGCUACCCGUUGAAGGAAGACUGACUCUGUUGGUGAGAUAUCACCUGUAUUCUGGGAAGUUCUGUGUGUCCUGGCGCCCAUAUUCCAUGCUGGGAGAUCUUUCUGAGAACAUGGACCUUUCAGCCCCUACUCAGCAGCAGCAACAAGCAGUUGGAACUCCAGAACAGCUGUACCUCAAGCCUGAUGUGACUCAGAAGAGUGGUGCAUGCAAUGAAGGAGGCCUCUUAGGGCAUAAUGACUAGCUUUAUGUAUCCCCCUGCCUGGGUAGCCAGACCUGGGUGUUCUAACUGGACCUUGAGGCUGCUGCACUGGUGAACAUGAGAGGCUGAAAUAAAGCAUGA